GACGAACGCUGGCGGCGUGCUUAACACAUGCAAGUCGAACGGUAAGGCCCUUCGGGGUACACGAGUGGCAAACGGGUGAGUAACACGUGGGUGAUCUGCCCUGCACUUCGGGAUAAGCCUGGGAAACUGGGUCUAAUACCGGAUAGGACCACUGCCUGCAUGGGUGGUGGUGGAAAGCUUUUGCGGUGUGGGAUGGGCCCGCGGCCUAUCAGCUUGUUGGUGGGGUGAUGGCCUACCAAGGCGACGACGGGUAGCCGGCCUGAGAGGGUGACCGGCCACACUGGGACUGAGAUACGGCCCAGGCUCCUACGGGAGGCAGCAGUGGGGAAUAUUGCACGAUGGGCGCAAGCCUGAUGCAGCGACGCCGCGUGAGGGAUGACGGCCUUCGGGUUGUAAACCUCUUUCAGCACCGACGAAGCGCAAGUGACGGUAGGUGCAGAAGAAGGACCGGCCAACUACGUACCAGCCGCCGCCGUAA
rnacentral:rRNA from 1 species